CGUAACACUGCGUUAUGUUGAUCAGGAGUGUUAAUAAAUAAAAGGCGACGCUAAACCAUGGCGUUUACGAGCCCAGAUGCAGAAUGAGCAACGCAGAAUAACUGAUGCAUUCGGGGAGAAAAUUUGCUAGUCAGAUUAAGGAUGAAAUCGGAGGAAACCCACGCAGGCUUAGGGAGAACAUGCAAACUCCACACAGAAAGGCACCUGUGUGACCCUGGAAUCCAACCUAAAGGAGCUUCUUGUGCGGAGGUGGAGAGAAGCUGCCACCAAAGGCAUCAACUGGCAACAGCUGACUGGAGCUGGUCCGUGCAGUCAUCCCACCGUAUUGUGUUGACGAGUACAGCAUCUUCAUCUGCCCUGGUAAAUGAGAAAACCUCACUCCUUU